GGUGUUGCUGUAUCUAUCUAUCAGUCGACUCGCGCACACGUCGCGUUCUUGGAAAGAACUCUCUGGGCUCUGCUUCGGUCCGAGGCUUUCUGGCGGAUUGAAACGGUUCUGCAAGGUCGGCUUCUUGCUUGUCUUGUGUGUCAUGCGCUGUUCGGCUCUUCGUUUCUGGUUUUGGGUUCGGGCCAAAAUGGGUUCCCAGGGAAUGAUCUUUCUUGCUCGGUGUUGCGACGUUCUCGAAGAUGGGAGUGAUGAAGCAAAAUUAUCGAUUUCGGCUUUCUGUGCAGUGGGUUUAGGAUUUUGCAUGUGCUGUGCUUACUCUUACUCUUGGCUGUCUUCAUGUUCACUAACUUUAUGUCAUCUAGUGUAUUGAGAGAUAGACGAGGGGUUUUAGUAUUCUUUUGAACUUUACUUUCUGGAGUGAAAUUUUGUCUACUUGCAACAUUCUAAUCUACUAGCAACUAUUCUCCAUUAUGACUUUUCAAGCUAAACAGCAAUGUCUACCGAUCUAUAACUAAAUAUGAGCAGUGAAUUUUUUAUUUUCAGCACUGGGUAAAUGGUACAGUUCUAGCGAAAACAUUGUCUUAGGUAUCAUGCUUUGUUUAACUAGCUGCGGGUUUCGUGGCUUUCAAGAUCACUUGAUAAGUAUCCACUUGUUUUUUGAGUCCCAUGCUUCGCGUGUGAAUCCUUUGGUAAUCUGAGUUCUCAUGAGUUUUCAUGGCUUUUAGUUUUCCUUUUUGCUUCCAUAGUAAUCGAUUCUGUUGUGCAGCCACACAAAAAUGCCAGACAUUGACUUGGGAUCUCACACUACACAAUCCCAUGGAUUCAAGGUGGCAAAAGUGCAUAAGCACGACUGGCUCAUUCUUUUGCUUCUUGUGGUGAUAGAAGCCAUCUUACUUAUAAUAGAACCAUGAAAUAUCCUCUGAAGGGCAAUACCGUGCCCUUUUGGGAUGUCCCAAUGAUCGCCAUAGUGUUUCCGUCCGUCGUCUUUCUUGCUUACUACUUCACACGCAAAGACGUUUAUGAUUUCCAUCACGCGAUUUUGGAUGCUGUUGGACGACCAAGACCAGACUUCCCGCCGUUCACUGCCCGCCCUUGGAAGACGCCCCGGACAUCGGAGCCGUUCGUUGAAACCCCACCCCAGAUAGGAGCUCUUUCUCUCAACACCCCCAAUCUCAAAAUUCAUUUUUUUCUCGAAGAUCGUAGGCAUCUUGCAUAGAAAUAUUGGUUGAUCUGUGCCUAAUAAUGUCGAUUCAAACCUUCAUAUGUCGAGACUAAGCCUCAAGCUUGCUGUCCGAAGUGCGUGUCAUGCGUUUGCUAACAUGCCCGAAAGAAGGCCGAGGAAUUUUCACGUAUUAGCUCGAAGCUGAUUCGUGUUUGCGUUUGUAUUCGUCGAACCCUGCUCGAUUUCUUUGUAUUUUGCCGUGUUUUCAUGUGACUUUGUGAUAUAUUC